GGAUUGUGGACUCUCUUGUAGAUAACACUGAAUGCAGGAAGCAUUUGGGACACAACGGGUGCCUUCAUCGAGACCAGCAAGCCCACAGAGAAGAUGGAGAUUCUGCCAGAGAAAGGCCCAACAAAUGCCAUGCCUCCCUUGGACUGCAGCUCCCAUCAUCACCAUCUCCACAAAGGCCCUGGCAGGAGGGAUGGGGGUCCUGGGAGUCGGAGUCCCAGAGGGAGGGGAAGGAAGGAUACGACUGGUGGUAAUUCUCUGGCCUGGCUUUGGCUGGAAUCCAGCCUCACUCUGCUCAAGCCUGCAGUCCUCAAGGAGGGAGGAGCCACGAGAUCCCAUUGGCAAGGCCGAGGGAAUCCCCCCCCUCACCUGGAUUCAUUCAUGUCUGCCUUGCCCUUUUCUGCCAGUUCUCCCACCCCUGAAGGGACCCAGAGCGGUUCCCAACAUACUCAAUGGCAAGAGCUCCAUGCCUUCCACGUCUCCAGCAUCCCAGAUCAGGGUGAAUGGGAGAGAAGCCGAGACCCAACCUCCUCCUGUCAAGGAAUGUCCUUCUUGUGUCUGUAAACAAACCUCUGGGCCCUGCAGAGAUGCCGCUCUCCCAGUCGCCUGCCCAGCUCAAGGGCUCUUUUGCGGCCCCAACACUUCACCUCCUGCCUGCUGUGAACUGGCUGCUCAGUUCAGUCUCCUCUCUUGUAUUUUGGAAUACUCGGCCCUUUGGCCGCCCCGAAUCCCUGCGGGGAGAUGGUGGUGGGGUAUAAAUAAAGUUUUUAAAUUAUUAUU